rnacentral:rRNA from 1 species
AUUGAACGCUGGCGGCAUGCCUUACACAUGCAAGUCGAACGGUAACAGGUCUUCGGACGCUGACGAGUGGCGAACGGGUGAGUAAUACAUCGGAACGUGCCCAGUCGUGGGGGAUAACUACUCGAAAGAGUAGCUAAUACCGCAUACGAUCUGAGGAUGAAAGCGGGGGACCUUCGGGCCUCGCGCGAUUGGAGCGGCCGAUGGCAGAUUAGGUAGUUGGUGGGAUAAAAGCUUACCAAGCCGACGAUCUGUAGCUGGUCUGAGAGGACGACCAGCCACACUGGGACUGAGACACGGCCCAGACUCCUACGGGAGGCAGCAGUGGGGAAUUUUGGACAAUGGGCGAAAGCCUGAUCCAGCAAUGCCGCGUGCAGGAUGAAGGCCUUCGGGUUGUAAACUGCUUUUGUACGGAACGAAAAAGUCUCCUCUAAUACAGGAGGCCCAUGACGGUACCGUAAGAAUAAGCACCGGCUAACUACGUGCCAGCCGCCGCCGUAA